UACGAAGGGGGCCAGCGUUGUUCGGAAUCACUGGGCGUAAAGCGCACGUAGGCGGCUUCUUAAGUCAGGGGUGAAAUCCUGGAGCUCAACUCCAGAACUGCCUUUGAUACUGAGAAGCUUGAGUCCGGGAGAGGUGAGUGGAACUGCGAGUGUAGAGGUGAAAUGCGUAGAUAUUGGGAGGAACACCAGUGGCGAAGGCGGCUCACUGGACCGGAACUGACGCUGAGGCGCGAAAGCGUGGGGAGCAAACAGG
rnacentral:rRNA from 1 species